rnacentral:rRNA from 1 species
UUGUAAGUGGCAGAGUAGCCUUGCUGCUACGAUCCACUGAGAUUCAGCCUGCCGCCGCACCGAUUUGU